rnacentral:piRNA from 2 species
UCCGUGUGCAGGGUCGAGACUGUCGU